rnacentral:rRNA from 1 species
CCUACGGGAGGCAGCAGUGAGGAAUAUUGCGCAAUGGGCGAAAGCCUGACGCAGCAACGCCGCGUGAGGGAUGAAGGCCUUCGGGUUGUAAACCUCUUUUCUGGGGAACGAGAUCAGGACGGUACCCCGGGAAUAAGUCUCGGCUAACUACGUGCCAGCAGCCGCGGUAAAACGUAGGAGGCGAGCGUUAUCCGGAUUUACUGGGCGUAAAGCGCACGCAGGCGGCUUCGUUAGUCGGAUGUGAAAGCUCCUGGCUUAACUGGGAGAGGCCAUUCGAUACUGCGGGGCUUGAGAUUGGGAGAGGGGUGCGGAAUUCCCGGUGUAGGGGUGGAAUGCGUAGAUAUCGGGAGGAACACCAGUGGCGAAGGCGGCACCCUGGCCCACAUCUGACGCUGAGGUGCGAAAGCGUGGGGAGCAAACAGGAUUAGAUACCCUUGUAGU